CGUAGGUUGCAAGCGUUGUCCGGAUUUACUGGGUGUAAAGGGCGUGUAGGCGGAGGUGCAAGUUGGGAGUGAAAUCCAUGGGCUCAACCCAUGAACUGCUUUCAAAACUGCAUCCCUUGAGUGUCGGAGAGGCAAGCGGAAUUCCUAGUGUAGCGGUGAAAUGCGUAGAUAUUAGGAGGAACACCAGUGGCGAAGGCGGCUUGCUGGACGAUAACUGACGCUGAGGCGCGAAAGCGUGGGAGCAAACAGGAUU
rnacentral:rRNA from 1 species